GAUGAACGCUGGCGGCGUGCCUAAUACAUGCAAGUCGAGCGAACAGAUGAGGAGCUUGCUCCUCUGACGUUAGCGGCGGACGGGUGAGUAACACGUGGAUAACCUACCUCUAAGACUGGGAUAACUUCGGGAAACCGGUGCUAAUACCGGAUAAUAUAUUGAACCGCAUGGUUCAAUAGUGAAUGACGGUUUUGCUGUCACUUAUAGAUGGAUCCGCGCCGCAUUAGCUAGUUGGUAAGGUAACGGCUUACCAAGGCAACGAUGCGUAGCCGACCUGAGAGGGUGAUCGGCCACACUGGAACUGAGACACGGUCCAGACUCCUACGGGAGGCAGCAGUAGGGAAUCUUCCGCAAUGGGCGAAAGCUUGACGGAGCAACGCCGCGUGAGUGAUGAAGGUCUUCGGAUCGUAAAACUCUGUUAUUAGGGAAGAACAAAUGUGUAAGUAACUAUGCACGUCUUGACGGUACCUAAUCAGAAAGCCCCGGCUAACUACGUG
rnacentral:rRNA from 1 species